UCAUUUCUUUGCAACUGCAUAUUUAUCCAUCCAGAGAAUGAAAAAUGAAACAUUUAUUACUGAAAAAAUACACUUUGUGUACACUGUAGACUUAUAAAAUGUAAUAUACAUAACACAGUGUGAUAACGUGUAAGACAUUUAUUUUAUAAUUUGCUCACAUAAUUUUACCUAUAUACAAAUAAUAUAAACUCUUCGGAAAAAUUAGAAUUAUUAUUUAUAAUUGAUUAUAAAUUAUAUUGACCAUAAUAUUACGCGACAACAAUAAGAACCGCAGUUAAUGACAUAAUAAUUGGAUGGUUAGUGAUAGAUUGAUAAAUGGUGAUAAUGACUGGUAGACGACAAAGAGUGAGGGCUGCUUCGACAAAAUUGUGCUUCAUUUAGGAGUUGGCUGGAUACCGGGAAUCGUCAAUAAAGUUCUACUGAUUCUAAAACGACUCGAUGACUUGGUAACGACCGAGAAAAUAAUAAUAUAAAGUAAACAAUGUAAAUAUAUAAUCAUACAAAAUGUAAUUUGUAUAUGGAAUAAGUAUUAUCUGUAUUUAAUUGAUUUCAAAAUUAUAUAAUAAGUGACCUAAACUAGAAUUUAUAAAAGUAAUUUAAAAUUUUAAUAAUUAUCUGGAAAAAUAAGCCCUAGGGUUAAAAAUAAUUUUAAAUAAAUAUCAUAUUUUAAUUUUGAGUAUAACACUAUAAACAGGUAAACUGGUAUUAAAGACUAUUAUCAUUGUUUAUAAAGUUUAAUAAGUAAAUAAACAACAUAUAGUAUAUAUUUUAAUUUUAUAAUGAAUAAAUCAAAAUUUUCAAAACAAUAUCUGCUGAAUAUUAUUUAAAGUAAAAAUGUGUGACUUCAUUUAUACAAAAAUGGUGGUUAACACACAAAAUUUAACAAAACAAAAUAUCGGUUGAUUGAGGAAAUGAGAAUGGCUCCAGUGAUGUGUAAUGUAUAUUAUACAAUAUUACCUCAUACAUACUAAUAAAAUGUUAUUUCCCGUAAAGCAACAUAAUCAUAUAUUUUGCAUGUUCUGGAUUCCCAUUAAUUGGUUGGUCGAAUAAUAUUCGUAUUUUCAUAAUAUGGCUG